CCUACGGGAGGCAGCAGUGGGGAAUAUUGGACAAUGGAGGCAACUCUGACCCAGCAACGCCGCGUGAGUGAUGAAGGUCUUCGGAACGUAAAGCUCUUUUAGAAGGGAAGAAGAAGGUGACAGUAGCUUAGGAAGAAGCCGCGGAUAAAUACGUACCAGACGCGGCGGUAAGACGUGGGAGGGAAGCGUGAGCAGGAAUUACGGGGUGUAAAGGGAGAGUAGGUGGCAUGACAAGGGAGUCGUGAAACGCCGGAGCUUAACGGCGGAACUACUUUGAAAACUGGUCGACUUGAGUGCAGGAGGGGCAAGCGGAAUGCCUAGUGUAGCGGUGGAAUGCGUAGAUAUUAGGAGGAACACCAGUGGCGAAGGCGGCUUACUGGACUGUAACUGACAUUGAGGCUCGAAAGCGUGGGGAGCAAACAGGAUUAGAUACCCUUGUAGUC
rnacentral:rRNA from 1 species